CUGCAGCAGAGGUAACUCUGGGUCUUCCUGCAGCAGAGGUAACUCUGGGUCUUCCUGCAGCAGAGGGAACUCUGGGUCUUCCUGCAGCAGAGGUAACUCUGGGUCUUCCUGCAGCAGGGGUAACUCUGGGUCUUCCUGCAGCAGGGGUAACUCUGGGUCUUCCUGCAGCAGGGGUAACUCUGGGUCUUCCUGCAGCAGGGGUAACUCUGGGUCUUCCUGCAGCAGGGGUAACUCUGGGUCUUCCUUUCCUGUGACGGUCCUCAUGAGGGACAGUUUCAUCAUAGCGCUAGAUUGUUUUUGUAACUGUACUUGAAGAAACUUUCAAAGUUCUUGACAUUUUCCGUAUUGACUUACCUUCAUGUCUUAAAGUAAUGAUGGACUGUCGUUUCUCUUUGCGUAUUUGAGGUGUUCUUGCCAUAAUAUGGACUUAGCCCUAAUUGGUAAAAGACCAUCUUCUGUAUACCACCCAUACCUUGUCACAACACAACUGAUCGGCUCAAAUGCAUUACGAAGGAAAGAAAUUCCACAAGUUAACUUUUUAACAAGGCACACCUGUCAUUUAAAAUGCAUUCCAGGUGACUACAUCAUGAAGCUGGUUGAGAGAUGCUAAAAGUGUGCAAAGCGGUCAUCAAGGCAAAGGGUGGCUGUUUGAAGAAUCUCAAAUAUAAAAUAUAUUUUGAUUUGUUUAACUUUUUUUUGUUAACUACAUGAUUCCAUAUGUGUUAUUUCAUAUUUUUGAUGUCUUUACUAUUAUUCUACAGAGUAGAACAUUUUACAAAUAUAGAAAAACCCUGGAAUGAGUAGGUGUGUCCAAACUUGUGACUGGUACUGUAUAUGUAUGUAUAUAAUGGUGUGUGUAGAUGUUAUGGACAGUAUAUGUGAGUAGAGAAGGUGUGUACAGCAGUAGUUAAAAACGAUGGGCUAUGACUAGAAUGCAGUAUAUACAUAUGCAGUGGGUAAAACAUGUAAACAUUAUUGAAGUGUCCAGUGAUUAAUGCUUGAAGGGCACUAUGGCGUUAACGGCUGAGCUGUAGUCCAUGAACAGCAUUCUGACAGUUAUUCCUCUUGUCCAGAUGGGAUAGGGCAGUGCCAAUGGUGAUUAUGUCAUCCGUGGAUCUGUUUUUAUUAUUUAACUAGGCAAGUCAGUUAAGAACAAUUUCUUAUUUACAAUGACGGCCUACCGGGGAACAGUGCCUUGUUCAAGGGCAGAACAACAGAUUUUUACCUUGUCAGCUCGGGGAUUCCAUUUAGCAACCUUUCAGUUACUGGCCCAAUGCUCUAAUCACUAGGCUACCUGUGGCUCUACGGUGUUUGGUAAGGUGGAGUUGAUAUGAUCCUUAACUAGCCUCUCAAAGCAUUUUAUGAUGACAGAAGUGAGUGCUAUGGGGCAAUAGUCAUUUAGUUCAUUUUCCUUCACUUUCUUUGGUACCGGAACAAUGGUGGACACCUUGAAGCAAGUGGGGACAUCAGACUGGAAUAGGGAGAGAUUGAACAUGUCCGUAAGCACUCCAGCCAGCUAGUCUGAACAUGCUUUGAGGAUACGGCCAUCUGGGCCAGCAGCCUUAAGAGGGUUAAAUGCCAUGUCUGACACGGAGAAAGAGAGCUCAUACUCCUCGGUGGCCCACAUCAACGGCACUGUGUUUUCCUUGAAGAGGGAGCAGGUGUUUAGCUUGUCCGGGAGUAAGGUGUCAGUGACCGACAUGGCUGGAGACCCUAUCACAUAUGUUUUCAGUUUUGUGCGAAUGCUGCCGUCUCCACGGUUAUUUGUUUUGGAUAAGUUCUAAUCGUAACAGUGGUAACCUCUAUGCACUUCCUGGUGAACCCAGUCAGCAAGUCAGUUUAUACGUCAUUGAACCCAGUCACCAAGUGUAUACGUCAACGUUGUUAGAUUGUUCGACAUUGGUCUGACCAAUCGCAAUCAGGUACAGGUACUUCCUGUUUAAGUUUCUACCUAUAGGAAGGGAGGAGCAGAAGGGAGGCGUGAUCUGAUUUGCCAAAGGCAGGGCGUGGGAGGGACUUGCAACCGUCCUGGGAGGGAGAGUAGCAAUGGUCGAGAAUUCUUGAUUAGCGAGUAGCGCAGGUGAUGUUUUGAUAAAACUUCAGUGGCAUUUUCCUCAGAUUCGCUUUAUUGAAGCUACAAUAAAGGCAGCCUCGGGAUAUGCAAUUUCCAGUUUGUACAAAGUCCAGUGUUUAUUUUAUUUAUUUUUAUUUCACCUUAAUUUAACCAGGUAGGACAGUUGAGAACAAGUUCUCAUUUACAACUGCGACCUGGCCAAGAUAAAGCAAAGCAGCGCAACACAAACAACAACAGAUGGAAUAAAUAAACAUACAGUCAAUAACACAAUAGUAAGUCUAUAUACAGUGUGUGCAAAUGAGGUAGGAUAAAUGAGGCAAGGAAAUAAAUAGCCCAUAGUGGCGAAAUAAUUACAAUUUAGCAAUUAAACCCCCUUGAGUGAUAGAGAUGAGCAGAAGAUGAAUGUGCAAGUAGAGAUACUGGGGUGCAAAGGAGCAAAAAAAUAAAUAAUAUGGGGAUGAGGUAGUUGGGUGAGCAAUUUACAGUUGGGCUAUGUACAGGUGCAAUGAUCUGUAAGCUGCUCCGACAGCUGAUGUCUAUAGUUAGUGAGGGAGAUAUGAGGCAGCAGAGAACUGGAAGGAGAGGCGGCCAAAGGCAGAAUUGGCUUUUGGAGUGACCAGUGAGAUAUAUAUCUGUUGGAGCGCGUGCUACGGGUGGGUGCUGCUAUGGUGACCAGUGAGCUGAGAUAAGGUGGACUCUUUACCUAGCAAAGACUUAUAGAUGACCUGAAGCCAGUGGGUUUGGUGACGAAUAUGAAGCGAAGGCCAGCCAACGAGAGCAUACAGAUCACGGUGGUGGGUAGUAUAUGGGGCUUUGGUGACAAAACAGAUGACAUUGUGAUAGACUGCAUCCAAUUUGUUGGAGGCUAUUUUAUAGAUGACAUUGCCAAAGUCAAGGAUCGGUUGGAUGGUCAGUUUUACCAGGGUAUGUUUGGCAGCAUGAGUGAAGGAUGCUUUGUUUACGAAAUAGGAAGCAGAUUCUAGAUUUAAUUUUGGAUUGGAGAUGCUUAAUAUGAGUCUGGAAGGAGAGUUUACAGUCUAACCAGACACCUAGGUAUUUGUACUUGUCCACAUAUUCUAAGUCAGAACCGUCCAGAGUAGUGAUGCUAGACGGGAGAGCUUUUAGUUUUACUUGCAUUUAAAAGCAGUUGGAGGCCACGGAAGGAGUGUUGUAUUGAAGCUCGUCUGGAGGUUGGUUAACAGUGUCCAAAGAAGGACCAAAAGUAUACAGAAUGGUGUCGUUCCAGUGUAAUUCCUUGAGCCGUCAUGGUCUCAGCUUGAGGGGGAAUAUGAUGUUACUGAUGCCUCUCUGGAAGGAGAGCCCUGAUCUCGUCUUAAGUUAUUGUCCAGGGACUGAACAUUAGGAAGUAAUGUUUCAGGGAAGUCUUAUUUGUGAUGGAAAUGCGGGUGAGUGAUCUAAUAACUAAAAGUAAUUUUUUGGCAGUAGGUAAUAAUACAAGAAACCUUCUGAGAAAAUAAUGUAAGAUAUAACACAAAAACAACUGUACUGUAAAGUUGGCUAGGAGCUAGAAGCAGGGUGACCAUGUCUGUUGGCGCCAUCUUAUUUAUGACUUUGUGGUUGUGGUAACUAGUGAAGACCAGGUACAACUCUGAUAUAAAGGUUUUUUUCUCAAAGUUGCUGGAAUGCCAUGUGCCCUACUUAUAUCAGUACACUCGUAACGACCUAAUCAUUUCAAAACUUGUUCGAUGAAAUAAGCCAUUAAAUAUGUUAACGAAAUUCGCCACUCAUUGACCUCCAUACAAAAACUCCUUUCUUGGUGAGCGACAAAUAUAUAAAAACGCCCCCUGCUGGAGAAGUCUGACUUUAGGCCCUGUUAUCUCUCUUGCUUCAAGUCUUCCUCCUUUUGUGUCCCAAAUGCACCCUAUUCCUUACACUUAUAUAGUGCACGACCAGGGCGCUUGGCUCAAAUCAAAAGGAGUGCACUAUACAGGGAAUAGCGUGCCAUUUGGGAUCAUUCCUUAGCGUGAUAGAUCUAACGCCUGGAUAUGUAUUCUAAGUAUCAGCUCACAUACACUAUAUAUACAAAAGUAUGUGGACACCCCUUUAAAUGAGUGGAUUUGGCUAUUUCAGCCACACCCGUAGCUGACACGUCGAUCACACAGCCAUGCAAUCUCCAUAGACAAACACUGGCAGUAGAAUGGCCUUCCUGAAGGGCUCAGUGACUUUCAACAUGGCACCAUCAUAGGAUACCACCUUUCCAACAAGUCGGUUCGUCAAAUUUGUGUCCUGCUAGAGCUGCCUCUGUCAACUGUAAAUGCUGUUAAUGUGAAGUGAAAACGUCUAGGAGCAACAACGGCUCAGCUGUGAAGUGGUAGGCCACAUCAGCUCACCGAACGGGACCGCCGAGUGCUGAAGCACAUAGAGCGUAAAAAUUCUGUCCUCGGUUGCAACACUCACUACAGAGUUCCAAACUGCCUCUGGAAGCAACAUCAGCACAAUUACUGUUCGGCUGGAGCUUCAUGGAAUUGGUUUCCAUGGCAGAGCAGCCACACACAAGCCUAAGAUCACCAUGUGCAAUGUCAAGCGUCGGCUGGAGUGGUGUAAAGGUCACGGGACAUUGGACUCUGGAGCAGUGGAAACACGUUCUUUGGAGUGAUAAAUCACGCUUCACCAUCAGGCAGUCCAAUCAACAAAGCUGGGUUUGGCAGAUGCCAGAAGAACGCUACCUGCCCGAAUGCAUAGUGCCAACUAAAGUUUGUUGGAGAAGGAAUAAUGGUCUGGGGCUGUUUUUCAUGGUCCGGGCUAGGCCCCUUAGUUCCAUUGAAGGGAAAUCUCAACGCUACAGCAUACAAUGACAUUCUAGACGAUUCUGUGCUUCCAACUUUGUAGCAACAGUUUUGGGGAAGGCCCUUUACUUUUUCAGCAUGAUCAAACACCGUUGGGAUGAAUUGGAACGCUGACUGCGAGCCGAGCCUAAUCGCCCAACAUCAGUGCCCAACCUCACUAAUUCUCUUGUAGCUGAAUGGAAGAAAGACCCCUGCAGCAAUGUUAAAAUAUCUAGUGGAAAGCCUUUCCCAGAAGAGUGGAGGCUGUUAUAGCAGCAAAUACCCAUGAUUUUGGAUUGAGAUGUUCGACAAGCAGGUGUCCACAUACUUUUGGUCAUGUAGUGUAGGUUAUAGCAAUUUGUCAGUCCAUGACACAGUCCAUCACACAGUCCAUCACACAGUCCAUCACACAGUCCAUCACACAGUCCAUCACACAGUCCAUCACACAGUCCAUCACACAGUCCAUCAC
ensembl:lncRNA